rnacentral:rRNA from 1 species
UACAGAGGUCUCAAGCGUUGUUCGGAUUCAUUGGGCGUAAAGGGUGCGUAGAUGGCAUAGUGAGUUAUUGGUGGAAAAUCGAGGCUCAACCUCGUGGAAGCUGGUAAUACUGCUAUGCUAAGAGUGCAGGAGAGGUUAACGGAACUCCAUGUGGAGCGGUAAAAUGUGUAGAUAUAUGGAAGAACACCAAUAACGGCGAAGGCAGUUAACUAUUCUGUUACUGACAUUGAGGCACGAAAGCGUGGGGAGCAAAACGG